AGUGGGGAAUUUUGGACAAUGGGCGCAAGCCUGAUCCAGCAAUGCCGCGUGAGUGAAGAAGGCCUUCGGGUUGUAAAGCUCUUUUGUCAGGGAAGAAACGGGAUUGGCUAAUAUCUAGUCCUAAUGACGGUACCUGAAGAAUAAGCACCGGCUAACUACGUGCCAGCAGCCGCGGUAAUACGUAGGGUGCAAGCGUUAAUCGGAAUUACUGGGCGUAAAGCGUGCGCAGGCGGUUUUGUAAGUCUGUCGUGAAAGCCCCGGGCUCAACCUGGGAAUUGCGAUGGAGACUGCAAGGCUUGAAUCUGGCAGAGGGGGGUAGAAUUCCACGUGUAGCAGUGAAAUGCGUAGAGAUGUGGAGGAACACCGAUGGCGAAGGCAGCCCCCUGGGUCAAGAUUGACGCUCAUGCACGAAAGCGUGGGGAGCAAA
rnacentral:rRNA from 1 species